CAAUAGCGUAUAUUAAAGUUGUUGCAGUUAAAAAGCUCGUAGUUGGAUUUCGGGGUGGCCUGGCUGGUCCGCCGCAAGGUGAGUACUGGUCAGCCGCCCUUCCUCUCGAAAGCCCCGACUGCUCUUUACUGCAGUGGUCGGGUAGUUCGGGACGUUUACUUUGAAAAAAUUAGAGUGUUCAAGGCAGGCUAUCGCCUGAAUACAUUAGCAUGGAAUAAUGGAAGAGGACCUCGGUCCUAUUUUGUUGGUUUCUAGGGCCGAAGUAAUGAUUAAGAGGGACAGUUGGGGGCAUUCGUAUUUCAUUGUCAGAGGUGAAAUUCUUGGAUUUAUGAAAGACGAACUACUGCGAAAGCAUUUGCCAAGGAUGUUUUCAUUAA
rnacentral:rRNA from 1 species